rnacentral:rRNA from 1 species
CUGACUGCUAUCGGAUGAUACUAAGCCAUGCGAGUCUUUGUAGUAAUACAAGGCAGACGGCUCAGUAACACGUAGUCAACCUACCCUAUGGACAAGAAUAAUCUCGGGAAACUGGGCAUAAUUCUUGAUAGAUCAUAAUGCCUGGAAUGGUUUAUGGUUAAAAUGAUUCGUCGCCAUAGGAUGGGACUGCGGCCUAUCAGCUUGUUGGUGAGGUAAUGGCCCACCAAGGCGAUUACAGGUACGGGCUCUGAGAGGAGAAGCCCGGAGAUGGGUACUGAGACACGGACCCAGGCCCUAUGGGGCGCAGCAGGCGAGAAAACUUUGCAAUGUGCGAAAGCACGACAAGGUUAAUCCGAGUGAUUUCUGCUAAAGAAAUCUUUUGCCAGUCAUAAAACCACUGGUGAAUAAGGGGUGGGCAAGUUCUGGUGUCAGCCGCCGCGGUAAAACCAGCACCUCAAGUGGUCAGGAUGAUUAUUGGGCCUAAAGCAUCCGUAGCCUGCUUUGUAAGUUUUCGGUUAAAUCCAUGUGCUCAACGCAUGGGCUGCCGAAAAUACUGCAUGGCUAGGGAGUGGGAGAGGUAGACGGUACUCAGUAGGAAGGGGUAAAAUCCUUUGAUCUAUUGAUGACCACCUGUGGCGAAGGCGGUCUACCAGAACACGUUCGACGGUGAGGGAUGAAAGCUGGGGGAGCAAACCGGAUUAGAUACCCGGGUAGUCCCAGCUGUAAACGAUGCAGACUCGAUGAUGCAUUGGCAUAAUAGCCAGUGCAGUGUCGCAGGGAAGCCGUUAAGUCUGCCGCCUGGGAAGUACGUACGCAAGUAUGAAACUUAAAGGAAUUGGCGGGGGAGCACCACAAGGGGGUGAAGCCUGCGGUUCAAU